rnacentral:tRNA from 1 species
GAGAGAGGCUCGCAGCAACAAAGACUGCUAAUCUUCGCCAUCCAGGUUGGACCCCUGGACUCACUCG